UUAAAUAAUAAUUUUCCUUAAGUUUACUUGUGCCUCUCAUUUUUUUGGUUGAAUCCAGGAAUUUCAUUAAACAACGGUGGAACAAGGAUUUAAUUCAAAGAUUGUGGAAUCCGCAUGAUGCAAUACUAUCACACAAGGAAUGUCAGAGGAAGGGAGGAUUGAUCUGGAAGAGAGAGCUGAAGUGAUGAGCGAUGACUUUAUGUCUGUCUUCACAGUCAAAUGGCUUGUAGUAUGAAAAUGACUUCAUUUUAUAUAAUUGUACGCAGAUGCUCUCAGGCAGCAACUAUCCAUAAAUAAUUCAGAAAAUUAUGCAUCAAGCAAUUAAACAAAAGCUUCAAAUGUACUGUAAAAGUCUCUUACAAAAAAGUCCCUUUGAAAAAGAAUGUCAGAUUUUGGGCAAUUUAGCUUUGCCUACCUUGGUUGCUUAGCUGCCUCUUCGGAGUAGCCAGUAAACACAAAAACAAACAGAGUUGGUCUCCGGAUCUGUUACAUCUUGCAGCGAUCUUUUGCAGAAACAUUAAUACAUGUUACUAAAGAAUCUGAUGGAAGAAAAACAGUUGGAUUUUAAUCAGCCACUUCUAUCUGUGAGGAGGUUCGCAUCAACAGUAUCGAUCACAGAAGCUGAUAACAAAAGGAAAAUGGAUAAUGCUCGCCCCAGAGUGCCCCCUCUUUCUGUCUACAAAUCGGAAUUGAAAUCCGGUCCGUUAACGAACCCAGGAACUGUUCCUUUUGUAUGGGAGAAAAGCCCAGGAAGACCCAAGUAUGAAAGCAAACCACAAACUGCGCCUCUUGCACAGCCUCCUGCUGUCCCAAAGCUUCCGCCAGGGCGGAUUUUGAAUGUUGAAAGGAAAGCUUUAGAUAAAGGUUCUGAAGGCACCACUGGUCAGUCCGAAACAAGAAAUGGCCUUUUGGGUUCUCACAAUGUUCCAUCUUUGGAUAAAAAUGCAACUGAAGAAGAGAGCUCCGGAGAGAGAACGGAGGAGACCGAUAUUUCUGGUUUGGAUCAUUAUGAUGAGGCCUACGUAGGUGCACUUGAUACACUUUCCCGGAGUGAAUCAUUCUUCUUGAACUGCAGUGUAAGUGGUGUGAGCGGGCUGGAUAGUCCAGAUAUAAAACCAUCUGGUACUAUCUCUACAGAUCCACAAACUCGAGAUUUCAUGAUGGGUCGAUUCCUGCCUGCCGCGAAGGCAAUAACUUCAGAAACUGCUCAACAUUCUACUAGGAAGCUACCUGCUAUACAAGAACAAUCAAGAAAGAUAAAGAAGAUGGUAACUGUGGAAGAACAGCGUCCAUUCAAUCAAUGCAGAGGACUAAGCAGUAUAACACAUUAUGACCAAGCUGAUGGAAUGCAAGAAACUGAAAAUGAGAAUGAUUAUUAUGAUGGACAAGAUAAUUCAACCUUUAAAGCCUGUGGGAUGUUCCCUCGGUUACGCUUACAAAAUUCCUUGUUUCUUUUGAAUCCUGUACCAAGGAUGAGGAAAGAGGCCCAGCUACACACUUCUCCAACCCAUGUGAAAAAAGUUGACUCUUCAUGUGCGGCUCAUUGCAGUGAAACUGUCAAUGAGCAUGAUAAGGACGUUGUAUACCAUCAAAGAUCAGUGGGUGCACUCAGAACAACAGGGGUGCAUGAAGAUGAGAAUGAGUUGAAAAAUGAAUCAAAUAAGAUUGCUUGCAGAAAUGAUUAUCAGAAGUUGGAUGGAUCUUCUCUGUAUAAGUGUUUGCAGGGUAAUGGCUCAUCGCCCUACCGAGGCAAAUUUGCUGGAUCAGCUGUUGAUGAAGAAAAAGGAUAUUUAGUGAUUCCUGGUAAAUAUAAAAAUUCUGGGAUGAAUGGCUUCAAAGCAGAUGCAAAAGGUGGCAAAAGUUUUCGAGAAUUAUUGGCCAAAGAGAGAAAUGAAUGGGAAUCAACUUCUGCUAGUCCUGUGGUUGAGAAACUCUGUACAUAGAUUCUGUACAUAUGCUAAAACCUCAAACUUCAAAUUCAAGUUCUUCAGAUACGAAAGUCUUAAUUAAUUAUUUUUCUCCAUUGAUUGUAGAUUAAUUUAUGCUUACAACAUUCCUUAAUCUCUGUAUUAUCAGGAAUUGCUUACACCAAUACCUGAGAUUUAGAGUGCAAGGCUCAUCUUUAUAGUACAAUGAUUCAAGGAUAUGCUUCCUAGGAGUGCACAUUGUUUUUUGGGUUGGGAUAAUGUAAAGGUGAACAUAAAACUGUCCUAAUUUAUGUUUAAAUAAUAAUAUUUUUUACCUUUGAUAA